rnacentral:lncRNA from 1 species
AAAGCGCUUCGGAUUUAGGGUGUUUUAAGACGGAAUGUGGAGAGAAUAAUAGGAAGCAGGACUUCUCUCUGGGAAGCAGGUACCUUUAGCUCAUUCCUCAAGCCUCCUUCCUCACAUUCCUAUCCCCUGUCCCUGGUGCGGAUGCUGGAUGCUGCUGCUAAGCCCAGCAGAGGCCAGCAACAGGAGUCACGCCUGUCUGGCCGCUCCCAGUCGAACCCAGUCUGUGUAGGUGGGCGCGAGGGCUGGCGCUGGAGGCUGGGAGGACCUUUCAAGCAACCAGCAAACGCGCUCGGGAGUUCAUUGACUGGCCGCUUAGAGCUUCAGGGACCCAGGAGAUAGCGCUGCACUGGAUCGGCUGGGCUGUGUGUAUAUAUGCGUGUGUGGGUUUUUUUUCUCCCUCUCCAUCUUCAUCCUUCUCCUCAAGCCGUCCCCCCCGGGAGAGUCGCUUCGUCCACGCUUUCCCUCCCCUGCAAGGGGUCCCAACGCUUGGCGCCUGGAAUGUUUAGGACUCUGGAACCUUCAGUUUCCUGUCCUGCCUCCGUGUGGGCGACACUGGUCUCACCUGGCUUGACCCUCAGUCCCAGAGAGUGCUGCCAGGCCACGAUCUGCUGUCCAUUCUGGGUGCCCAUCUCGGAGGGAUACUCUGGGGACAGCCUGCAUCCAGUACCCAGCUUGAAGAGGGAAACUUGAUCCCAAGAUACGGGUUUCGAAGCCUGCAUUUGAAAAGGACCCGAGCGACCCGAGCGCACAAGGCGACUUGUCUGGGGCGAAGGGAACGGCGAGCCUCUGUGAGCGCCUUCAUUAGGGACCCUACACCGGAAGGUGCAGCCGGGCACUGGCCCUCGGGACAUUCGCUGGGGAUCCUUUGGCCACCCCAGCCUCUUACCUCGAAAAGCUGAGGAAUGUCCCUCCGGGCCAGGCACGUUUCUUCUGUUAAUUGUCAUUCUGCAGUAUAAUUAAUUAAUUUCCAUGCUGCUUCUAACUGGGUGAAAUUACAAGACUAAGGAUCGACCACAUCUCUGCAAGCAGUGAGCGUGCUUAAGGAGAGCUCUUCCCAGGGUCUCACUCUGUAGGCCUGGAUAGCCUGGACCUUGCUAUGAGGAUCAAGCUGGUCUUGAAAUCACAGAGAUCAACCUGCUUCUGCCUCCCGAGUGCUGGGACUGAGGUGUGUGCCACACUGCCUUGCUCCUAGUGUUGCCCCUUGAGCCGCAGAGGAAGGAGGAACAAAAGCCCAGGGUCAUCCGUGCUUUCUCAGUGAGUCUGGUUACCUGAGACCCUGCCUGAAAAGCUCAAACCAAACCAAGGAAAAAAUAAGAUGGUUUCAAAGGAGCUGAGCACUUGCAAAGUAUACCUUCAGAGUUUCAAUACGUUUUAAUUAUUGAAGAAAGAAUGGAUUUCAUGGUAACGUCAUUUGCCUCCUAUGCCAUUAGACCUCCAAAGCAAUGAAGAUGUUAAAGACUCAUAAGUACGGGAUACUCUCCAAGUCAGCAAUUCAGCCCCAGUGGUCAGUGACAUGGGAGCCCAGGCAGCACCGAGGUGAAAGGAUUCACCCUGAGCUGGCGUCUGGACCUGCGCACACCCAGUCCCACCAGGGACCACUAGUGAUGAGUAGGAGGUUUGAGACUUGAGUACUUGCUUCAUCACAGGGGUCCCUGACGCACCCCAUUCUGAGACAGUAGAUUGGAAACCAGGGUAUGGAAAUAACCACCGAAAGUGACCUUCUGCCAUGGUAUUUGUAAAGGGAAGAACAGUUAAUCCCAAGAGUGAUGGAGCCUGUUAGGCAACUUGGGCCACACAGGGCAAGAAACCUUUGUCGCUCUCCCAAGAUGGAACCAAGAUGGACCUUGGCAGUUACAGAGAGCUCCAGCGCAUGAACUUCCCUCACAGCAGAACCCAAAUUCCACAGGAAGCAGCCAAGGAAGGGACAGAGGAAGCAGGGGACAGCUGGGAAUAUCAGCUCUCCUUGUUGCCUCCCCAAGGCACACGUUACGACCAUCUAUCGAGAGAAGAGCAAGAAGGGUUUUCUGAGAUGCUGGGGUUUAUAUAAGAUAGAGCUUAUCAAAUACUUUCCAUCUGUCCAAGAAAUUUUUACACAAGUCUAGGUAUAAGUAUAUAAAAUAGGUUUACAAAUCAAACUGAUAACUUGCUGAUAAUAUAAAGAAAUGUGUUUUAAAACUG